AGAGUGACUGUCCUAGGUGAGUGACUUCUUCCUUCUCCAUUGCUGUUCUCUCCACGGUUAGAGAUGAUUACUGUUGGAUUAUUUCUCAGCCUGUAUUUUGCUUCAUUCCUAAACUCCACUCUAGGUCAGCUCAAGGCUACACCCAGAGUCACCAUACUCCCACCUACCCCUGAAGAGCUCAGGACCAACAAAGUCACAGUGGUGUGUCUCGUAGAAGGCUUCUUCCCGGAAAAUUUGUCAGUGUCCUGGAAGACAGAUGACACUCCUAUCACCGCAGGUGUGGAGACUAGCCAGCCAUCCCUACAGAGCAACAACAAGUACAUGGCUACCAGCCUCCUGUCCUUGGCAAAAGAAAUGUGGGAAACUAAAAGCACUAUCAGCUGCCUCGUCGUUCAUGAAGGGGAGAUUGUGGAGAAGUUUCUGAUCCCUGCUGCGUAUUCCUAGGUCUUCUGACCUUCAUGUUACCCACCGAGCAUGAGAUCAGAAUCAUGCCCAAGAAUACCCUUACUGCUAUUGCCUAUCACAGCCGUUUUCCCUGCUCUCAAAAUGCACAAUAAAAUAUCUAUUAUCAGCCUGUAA